GUUUGCGUACCGCGGCGAGGUGCGGCUGCGCUGCGGGCGUAGCUGAGCUACGGGAAUAAGGGGGGAGCGCAAGCGCUGCGGUGCUUCGUGAGGGGAAAUGGCGGGAGGAGCGGCUCUCUCACGACCGUCGGGGCUUCGGGGUGUCCUGGGUCCCGAGGGAGCCCGACCCCCGCCCACGGGGCGUGAGUGCCGUGGUGUGGAGACCGAGGAGCGUCCAGGGAGCGCUGUCCCGGUGCCUCCAUCGGGGCUCGAUCCACACAGAAUGGAGCUGCGCUCGUUUUUGCCUCACUCAGGCCGCCCUUUCUUCUCCGUCCCUCGCUGCCCUCCUCCUCUAUGGGCUCACGGGCCAUAUUUCUGCUCCGUGUUCUUCAGCCUUUUCCUCAGUAACGCAGCUCACGAUCUCAGCCCCCAGCCCCGGCUCUGCCCGAGCUCCGCACGGACCGCUGCCCGCCUGGGAAGCGGGGCUGUGAGGGGAGCGGGGGGAGCCGGGCUGCUGGGGCGGCAGGAGCGUCAGCUGUGAGCCUGCGACGAAACGUGCGGGAGUUUGACAGCUGCGUUGGCUGAGGGCUGAUAAUUCCCUCACUCAGCUCCGUGUUGUGAAUGGCUGUCACUUUCUCGAACUCUGACAAAACAAACAGUAAAGGAGAUGGAGCGGCAGAAGGCUUUUGGGGUUCUUUCGAACAGGUCCAGUUUCCACAUUAAACCUGCCUGGUAGGAACCACUGCUACUUGGUCUCUGCAAACUGCUGAUAUUCUGGCUCCGUGACCAGUGUUGUUAGUGAACUUGAAAGAGGCUGCAAAGGGGAAAGAUCAAGAAAAGAAGAGAGAAUACCACGUAUUCUGAGGACAGCCACAGCAUCUCCAGCUGAUUGGAUAUAUGGGCAGUGUUCCUGAUGGGAUAAAUCUGUUGCAUUCCUGACUGCCUCAUCAGGCUUCCUGUGGCACUGGAAGGAUUUGCAUCAAGCCAGAUAGCACAACAGCACUGCAGCAAGGCAGGGGAAAGCUAACAUCCCCGUUUCACCAGAGGAAAAGCGAUCACCAGAGGAGAGGUGAAGUCCAGGAAGGCUGUGGUGCCUCUGUGGGGUUAUGCAGGGUAUCUACAGCAUAGUUGAAAGACAGGCCUGGGCAUAACAUCAUCCUUUUUGAGUGCCAUCAGAAGUGGGAUGAAGGCUCUCCUGGAACUAGAGGCACUAGUCAGCACAAACUGCUUCUGUCGAUGUGCUUUAUUGGACUAGAAUCGAUGAAGGAGUUUAAAAAAGAAAAAAAAAAUGCCCCCCAAAAUGGGCUCACUGAGCCAGACCAAGUCAUAAACAGAUUAGAAUGCUGUGGAGGUCAGGUUUCAGCUGGUGUUCAUGAAAACAGGGGAGUUCUGGCAUUGUUGGAGGGUGAUUCAUUUCACUGGAAUAUUUCAGGGAGGAGAACCACACAGGAGUUGGGAGCACAAACCUGCAAAGAGAGGGGUCCUGUGUCGAGUUUCUGCCUCCAACUUCGCCGUUGCAGAUUUAUGCUGAUACCACGUCUAUCAGGAAAAGUUAUCUGUUUCUGUUUGACUCACAUGAAAGCCCAUGUGUGGUUAUUGCAUUCUAAGUUUGCUAGAACUUGUUAAUAAUUUAGGAUAAUAAAGUCAGUCAAAUUAAUUCACCUCUGAAAUUGAGCUUAUUUGCAUUGGCUUGUCUUUUUUGUAACAGAUCUCUCUGCGGGCAUAUGUUUGUAUAAGCUUUUUGUAUGUGCUCGAGAGUGUUUGUGUGCAUAUGUAAUUUCUUACGACCAGAAGAAGCUGAGCUGGAUUUAAACAUUGCACAAGAAAAAUAGUUUCUCCCUGCCUGUGAAUAUAUUCAGGGAAGGUCCACCCCAAAGUGAAGCCAAAUAGAGGGGAAAUAAAUCCAUGGGAAAAAUGGGGUUUGUAAUGGAAAUGCUCUCUUGUCUUAAAUUAUAGCCAGGCAUAUUGUGAAGCUGAAACACAUGCUGAAGCAUCCAGACAGUGCCUCAAGCUGGCCACGCGUUCCCAGAAAUAAAGAAAAACACCAGAGCCUACCUGCAGAAUGACCUUUCUCCUAACUGACUUGCAGCUCCGAAGCUUUUGUGCUGGAAGAGAUAGGGAGAUGAAAUGCUCUCCUGUUCAGUGCAUGCAGAAGAGACUGGAGCUGAGUUGCUAUUUUCGUAACAGUAAAACUACGGCGAGAUCUGAAUUCUUUGUUCAUGUUUCGUCGCUUUGAGGCAAGCAGUGGUGAUGAGAUCAGACAUCAGCCAUAGGACACUUCUUGGCAGUGUGAGGGAAAGCCAAGACUGAGCAUAUGGUUUGUUGCAAGCUCUGACCUUCCCAGUGAACUGGGGCAAAGCCAAGCGCCUGGAAUUUCCAUCGAGUGCCAUUCAGAAGCCUGCAUGAUGCUGUGGAAAGCCUCUGUGCCAUUUCUGGGAAA